ACAAAGCAAAACUUAGUAACAAAACGUAAUUUCAUUGUGAACUUUAAAAUCGUAACCCAAUAUGAAUGCAAGCUACUUUCGUUUGUUUUGAUAAUUGCUAACAAAUUUUAAUUUCUUUCCUGACUCCCUUGCGGGUGUAAUUUCCAAAAAUUCUGAAGUUUAUGUUUCUUCAUUUUUAGUCGAAUGCCCAAAUAUCAAUUCUUAUGGGCUAUAACUUUUUUAUUUAAUCCCCUUGGGGGCGGAACAUAUUUGAAACACUCCUUUUUUCUUUCAUGGAUAUAGGUUCAAAAAUGAUGGACUUUUAUAUUGAACCCCCCUUGGGGGUGGAAUUUUUAAAAUUCGUAUAAAGGCCUAAUAAGCCCAACUACCAAUUUGCGUAGAUAAUAUAUCACUCAAAUUACCAAACCUCGUAACUCCACUUUUGUUUAAAAAUUGUUCAACCAAAAAAAAAAUACUGCACACAAUGGUGACAACAUAGUGACUGCACAUAUUAUUUUAAUACUCGUACUAUGACUACUAUUACCAGGAUAGCAAACCUUUUUACUCCAUUAGUUCUACACAGCACAAUAUCACGUCAUUUAUUACCUUGUAACUGCUGCACUCGGCUGCGGAAAUAUAUUUCAACUUGUUGAAGAUACUCGUAUCUCUCUAUUUAUUUAUUUAUUUGUUUAUUUAUUCAUUUAUAUUCCAAAAAAAAUUUAAAAAUGAAGUACAAAAGAAAACAAAUUAUUACUGAAGCUUAUUGUCAAUGUUUGGAUAAGUAUUUACAUACCACAAAUAUUUUAAAAGAUUGUAUCUUGUGUAAAUUUUUUUAAAUGUAUUUUAAAUUUUUUGUAAAACUUGUGUUUUUGCAGUUACGGGGUUUGAUAAUUAACGUGAGGAUGUGUUAAUGCGUAAAAGAAAGGCUAUUUAAAACAACACAAAAAAAAAAACUUACCGAGUGGUCCGUCAAAGUGCAGAUCGAUGUAAGAAGGAAGAAGUAAGGAAAGAGGAAGAAUAGGAAAAAAAAGAGAACCUUGACGGUACGGCACAAUUAAAUUAACGAUUAAUAAAUGCACUGUAAAAUGCGGCGUGUGGCUGCCACCCGAUCGCUUCUCGACUACUACUACUACUCUUAUCUCUUAGUAAAGAUUACAAAAACCCCUAAAUGAAAAGAGGCGCUAACAUUCCCCCCGACCGUUAAGGAAUGAAGUUAACUAAAACCAAAUUAUCAACUAAAGAAAAGAAAGAUAAGUUCCCUUCCGCAUAAUAAUAAUAAAUAUUAAAUUAAAUUAAACUGCAAGUAAUUGCAUCCACCCAAAGAACAAAUAACUAAAAACAAAAUUAUAGGAUCAAAACGAUCACUGAUUUGGAAGGGGACAUAGACGAACUAUAGGUCGUUUAUAAAGACCAUUGGGAGUUUUGACGCUGGCGACGCGAACUAUCCCAUCCUUGCCAGGAAAGACCUCUUGAACGACCCCUAAUGGCCAAUGCAACGGUGGGGUGUUAUCCGUCCGCAAAACUACGACCGUACCGACCUUUAUUGGAGAAGAUGGCUUAUUCCAUUUUUGACGAACUUGCAAAUUAUGUAGAUAUUCCACGUGCCAUCGUUUCCAAUACGUUUGCAAAAUUUGAUCGAGCAGUUCUUUUCGGGUUACUAAAUUAGUCGACAUGUCUAAAUUUUGAAUUGGUAGCGAUUGAAGGGGCGUCCCUGUCAAAAAAUGAGCAGGCGUCAAAGCUAACGGCUCGUUAGGAUCCGAGCUGAGCGUACACAAUGGUCGAGAAUUUAAUAAAGCCUCUAUUUGAGUAAUAACCGUCGUAAAUUCUUCAUAAGUCAAAAUUUGGGUGCCAAUAACUUUAGUUAAAUGAGACUUCACACUUUUAAUGUUUGCCUCCCAGAUUCCUCCAAAGUGAGGUGCUGCUGGAGGAUUAAAUUUCCAUACUACAUUUCGUUUUAUCAAUUCAUCAUCAAUACUAGAAUGAUACUCUUGUGAGGUCACAAAUUUUGACAAAUCGUCUAGGGCAGUUUUAGCUCCAAUAAAAUUUGUACCACAAUCGGAAUACAAAACCGAGCAUGGACCACGACGGGAUAAAAAACGUUUAAAGGCAUUAAUAAAAGUCGCAGUGGAUAGGUCAGAAGCCACUUCUAGAUGUAAGGCUUUGGUAACUAAACAAAUAAAUAAGCAUAAAUAAGCUUUCUGGCUUUUUACACCUCUACGACGAGUCAGAGUGAUAUAGAAAGGUCCGGCAUAAUCUACACCACUGUGCAAAAAUGGUUUCGCUUCUGUAAUUCUAGGAGCGGGCAAAUCCGCCAUACAUGGGAAAGUUGCGCGAGGACGAAAUUUAAAGCAAUAAUUACAGUUGCGAAUGCGAUGUCUAACAACAUUUCGUGCAGCUAGAAUCCAAAAUUUCUGACGCAACAACGACAGUGUAAGAUGCGGACCAGUAUGUAAAUUACGUUGGUGAAAAUAGUCUAUUAAGAGAUCCACCAAGUGGUCUUUUUUGGGCAGCAAAAACGGAUGCUGCUGAUCAUAUUCUAAAUUUGAGUUUGAUAGACGUCCUCCUACUCUAAUAACUCCAUCUUUAAGAAACGGACAUAAGGAACGAAUUUUAGGCGAACAAGGUUUAUUUUGCUCUAACAAAGCUAAAUCUGAAGCAAAAUGUUCUCUUUGGACAAGUCUAACUAGCGUUAAUUCAGCGGUUUCUAAGUCUUUGAGUGUAAUAGGAUUUCCUUUUGGCAAUAACUUAAGAAAUCUGAGAACAUAUACAACUGCAUUGCGCAAUUUACUAUACGAAGACGAUCUAUCUAUAAGUUGUCGUAAAGGGUUGACACAACGUGAGAAAGUGACGAGAACUAUCGGUUUCUCUUCGAGUGGAGGUUCGUCUGUAUUAGUUGAAGAGUUAAUAGGCCAUAACUGUUCGUCCAUAAAUAACCAACUAGGACCAGUUAGCCAAAUCGGGUGGUUUAAAAGGUGCGCCGGUGUUAGACCCCUAGAAAUUGGGUCGGCUGGGUUUUCCUUCCCAUCGACAUGAUACCAAUUAACCGACGGCACUAAUUCUUGAAUUUUUGCCACGCGAUUUGCUACAAAAGUGUGCCAACGAUGAGGAGAUGCGUUUAUCCAGUUAAGUACGACCGAAGAAUCAGUCAGAGCAACAAUGUUUUCUAUAAUUAAUCGCGAUUGGAAAGUGCUUUCUACAAAAUGGAUCAGUCUAGCUAAAAGAAGCGCAGCACAAAGCUCUAAUCUGGGUAUCGAAAGUGACUUUAACGGAGCAACUUUUGAUCUAGCACAAAUGAUUCUAACAGUAGGUACCUUUUCUGGAACUUUUACAUACACUACCGCUCCAUAACCCUUUUCUGAUGCGUCUGCAAAUCCAACAAUUGUCACAGGUAAAUUACUACAAGUUCCUAAAUGACGCGGAAUUUCAAAGUUUUCCAAAAGAUGCAACUCUCCUUUUAAAAGACUCCAAAUUUUUUGUAUAUCAGCCGAUACAGGAUCGUCCCAACCAAGUUUUUGAACCCAAAUUUCCCGAAUCAAUAAUUUUGCAUAUAAGGUAACGGGAGCCAACAAUCCUAAAGGAUCCCAAAUGCGAGCAAUUAUUGACAAAAUAUUCCGUUUCGUACAUUCUAUGUCAGGAACACUAAUUUUAAAACCAAGCAAGUCGGUUUGCGGAUGCCACUGAAAACCUAAGACCUUCAAGGAAUCAUUGCUAAAUUCAACGGGCUGAAAGCAGCGUUCCGAUUCUAAAAUUUCUGACAAUAAUUCAUUAGAGUUUGUUGUCCAUUUGGUUAAGCUAAACCCCCCGGCCCUAAACAAACCAAUUAAAUCGCGAUACAACGCAAUAGCUUCUUCACUGGUAGGAACACUAGUUACAACAUCGUCCAUAUUCGUCCGAGGCAAGUUGCUUAACUGUACGAAGAGCUAAAAAUGGCGAGGCUUUGACUCCAAAAGAGACUACAUUGAUUUCGUAUGUUUGGAGAGGUUCAUUAAUCGAAAAUCGCCAGAGAAUUCUUUGAAAGCAUCGAUGAUCGGGAUUAAGCCAAAUUUGUCUAUACAUCUGACGUACGUCAGCGGUCAUGGCUACAGCAAAUAGUCUAAAAUUCAGUAGCAAAGAAACUAUAUCGGUUUGUAAUUUUUCACCAGUAUAUAAAACAUCGUUCAAAGAAA